rnacentral:rRNA from 1 species
UACGUAGGGGCUAGCGUUGUCCGGAAUCAUUGGGCGUAAAGAGCGUGUAGGCGGCCCGGUAAGUCCGCUGUAAAGUCAAAGGCUCAACCUUUGAAUGUCAGUGGAUACUGCCGGGCUAGAGUCCGGAAGAGGCGAGUGGAACUCCUGGUGUAGCGGUGGAAUGCGCAGAUAUCAGGAAGAACACCAACGGCGAAGGCAGCUCGCUGGGACGGUACUGACGCUGAGACGCGAAAGCGUGGGGAGCGAACAGG